UGGGGAAUAUUGGACAAUGGGGGGAACCCUGAUCCAGCCAUGCCGCGUGUGUGAAGAAGGCCUUUUGGUUGUAAAGCACUUUAAGUGGGGAGGAGGCUCUCUUGGUUAAUACCUAAGAAGAGUGGACGUUACCCACAGAAUAAGCACCGGCUAACUCUGUGCCAGCAGCCGCGGUAAUACAGAGGGUGCGAGCGUUAAUCGGAUUUACUGGGCGUAAAGCGCGCGUAGGUGGUUAAUUAAGUCAAAUGUGAAAUCCCCGAGCUUAACUUGGGAAUUGCAUUCGAUACUGGUUAGCUAGAGUAUGGGAGAGGAUGGUAGAAUUCCAGGUGUAGCGGUGAAAUGCGUAGAGAUCUGGAGGAAUACCGAUGGCGAAGGCAGCCAUCUGGCCUAAUACUGACACUGAGGUGCGAAAGCAUGGGGAGCAAACAGG
rnacentral:rRNA from 1 species